rnacentral:rRNA from 1 species
GACGAACGCUGGCGGCGUGCUUAACACAUGCAAGUCGAACGGAAAGGCCCUGCUUUUGUGGGGUGCUCGAGUGGCGAACGGGUGAGUAACACGUGAGUAACCUGCCCUUGACUUUGGGAUAACUUCAGGUAACUGGGGCUAAUACCGGAUAGGAGCUCCUGCUGCAUGGUGGGGGUUGGAAAGUUUCGGCGGUUGGGGAUGGACUCGCGGCUUAUCAGCUUGUUGGUGGGGUAGUGGCUUACCAAGGCGUUGGCGGGUAGCCGGCCUGAGAGGGUGACCGGCCACAUUGGGACUGAGAUACGGCCCAGACUCCUACGGGAGGCAGCAGUGGGGAAUAUUGCACAAUGGGCCGAAGCCGGAUGCAGCAACGCCGCGUGCGGGAUGACGGCCUUCUGGGUGUAAACCGCUUUCGCCUGUGACGAAGCGUGAGUGACGGUAAUGGGUAAAGAAGCACCGGCUAACUACGUG